rnacentral:misc_RNA from 1 species
UUCUGGAGGUUCGCAUGCCUCGACGAGGGAGAUUAACCUGACGGAGAGGCUGACUGAUAUUCUUGUUGAUGAAGGAGAUGGCGAUCUGUUGCUUCAGCAGAGCGAUCGGGAAGAUAGGGUUAUACGGUGGCUUCAAGCGCUAGAUAUGCAAGUCAUGGGCGCUUGUCGGGCUGACGAAAGGUUGAAGCCGUUGUUGAAGAUGACUACGUCUAGCGGCAUAGCGGAAGAUCGUCUUCUUGCUCAAUUGAGUCAGCAUUUCGAGCCGGUUGAAGUUGGCAUUCUAGCGAGGUGUUUCUGUAUACCUCUCGUCUCUAUUCGUGUUGGAAAAAUUGACAAGCAAGGAAGCCUCCUUUGUCCUACGGCCACUAAGGGAAACUUAAAUCUAAUGGUUGUACCAUCAUCUGACUUUCGACUCUCAUUCAUUGGGGAUAAUGGCCAGG